AUAAAAAAAUACUACUAAGGAAAAGUUUAAACUUGGCAUAUCGUAUAUAUCUUUUUUAUAAGACGAAAAGAAAAAAGAGAAAUGGCUAUGAAGAGUGUAAUAAUAACAUUGCUUAUUAUUGGAGUAGUUAUGUGUUUUGUUUUCGCUGAGUCUCAUGAAAUUAUUCUCAAAGAGUCUUCUACUCCAUCUUAUUAUACUAUACAGAACCCUAGAGAUGUGGAUAGCAUCAUUCCAAAUUUGAGAAAAUGUAUCAAAGAUUGUAUAAACAGUGGAGGUGGAAAGGGAUGGUUGAUGCAGUGCGUUGAUCAUAUAUGCUUGGACAAGUUCCUACCUCUCUAGUACUUUCAAAAUGGGUUGUUAGAGUUGAUGAAAUUUAAAUAAACAUUCUAAUAUAAUGUUUUGGACUUCAAGUCUAUUGGCUCAGUUAUACACUAUAUAUAGACAAUAGUUGCUACCAAAAUAACCAGCAAAUAUAAUAAAAUGGCACAUCUUAAUACCUCUACCUAUGUUUGGAAGUUGUCUAAUAAGUUCAGUUGUAUGAAUAAUCCUUUCUAGUGAUGUGUAUGUGUCUGUGUACCAUAAGUGAAUUGUUGUAAUAAAUAGAGUAAUAAAAUGUUGUAAUAAAAUAAAAUAGAUGUUGUUUAUUACAUA